rnacentral:rRNA from 1 species
CCUACGGGGGGCAGCAGUAGGGAAUAUUGCUCAAUGGGGGAAACCCUGAAGCAGCAACGCCGCGUGGAGGAUGAAGGUUUUCGGAUUGUAAACUCCUUUUGUUAGAGAAGGUAAUGACGGUAUCUAACGAAUAAGCACCGGCUAACUCCGUGCCAGCAGCCGCGGUAAUACGGAGGGUGCAAGCGUUACUCGGAAUCACUGGGCGUAAAGGGCGCGUAGGCGGGAGAGCAAGUCAGAUGUGAAAUCCUAUGGCUUAACCAUAGAACUGCAUUUGAAACUGUUAUUCUAGAGUAUGGGAGAGGUAGGUGGAAUUCUUGGUGUAGGGGUAAAAUCCGUAGAGAUCAAGAGGAAUACUCAUUGCGAAGGCGACCUGCUAGAACAUAACUGACGCUGAUGCGCGAAAGCGUGGGGAGCAAACAGGAUUAGAUACCCGGGUAGUC